UACGUAGGGGGCAAGCGUUGUCCGGAAUCAUUGGGCGUAAAGAGCGUGUAGGCGGCCCGGUAAGUCCGCUGUGAAAGUCCAGGGCUCAACCCUGGGAUGCCGGUGGAUACUGUCGGGCUCGAGUCCGGAAGAGGAGUGUGGAAUUCCUGGUGUAGCGGUGAAAUGCGCAGAUAUCAGGAAGAACACCCGUGGCGAAGGCGGCUCUCUGGGACGGUACUGACGCUGAGACGCGAAAGCGUGGGGAGCAAACAGG
rnacentral:rRNA from 1 species